CAUUCCAUCCGUGCUAUCGCGGCGUGCAAACGUCGAGGAAAGUCCGGACAGCACAGGGCAAUGCACCGGCUAACGGCCGGGGGACGGAUAUCCGUUCACAGAGAGUGCCACAGAAAAUUACCGCCCGCCUUCGCUAAAGCUACGGCGGGUAAGGGUGAAAACGUAGGGUAAGAGCCUACGGUGCAGGCCAGUAAUGGUCGGCGCGGGUAAACCUUGCAUGCUGAAAUGCCAUGUAUACCGGUGGUCGAGGGCGGCUCGUCCGAUGAUGCCGAAAGGUGUCAACGCCGGAGGGUAGGCAGCUAGAUCCUGUCAGUAAUGGCAGGGCCAGAUAAAUGAUAGCAACCCCAAAAGGGUACGGAAUCCGGCUUACAGGAUGGAAUUUUUA
rnacentral:RNase_P_RNA from 1 species